rnacentral:rRNA from 1 species
UUAAGCAUAUCAAUAAGCGGAGGAAAAGAAACUAACAAGGAUUCCCCCAGUAACGGCGAGCGAAGUGGGAACAGCUCGAGCCUGAAAUCCCUGGCAGGUACUGCCAGAGAAUUGUGGCCGGGAGAGGCGGCGGUGCCCCGACUGUUGCUGUCAAAGUUGACCUGGAAAGGCACGUCAGAGAGGGUGAGAGCCCCGUGCUUGACACCGACGGGAAGGGCCGCUACCGUCUUCUGAGAGUCGGGUUGUUUGGGAAUGCAGCCCAAAGUGGGUGGUAAACUCCAUCUAAAGCUAAAUACCGGCACGAGACCGAUAGCGAACAAGUACCGUGAGGGAAAGUU